rnacentral:tRNA from 1 species
GCUCCCAUCGUCUAGUGGCCAAGGACACCGCCCUUUCAAGGCGGAGAUCACGGGUUCGAAUCCCGUUGGGAGUA